GCACGAAGCUCUAGGAAGAUGUUCUGUGAUUGGUUGAUUAUGACAAUGACAAAAGAAUAAGCUAUUGAAUGGAUUUUCUAAAGAACGAAGCAAGAACAAUAUUCCUUUUGUUUAUGUAAGCCAAUUACGUCUUUUGUCAUUGUCAUAAUCAACCAGUCACAGAACAUCUUCCUAGAACUUCGUCUUUACUGCCAGAAUUAACAGUACACGACUUCAACAUUAAGCUCGACCUUCGGUCUCGCUCAAUAUUUAAGUCUCCACUCCAUUUUGACAUAUUGGGCUCAGUAGAAUCCAAUAUAUUUUAUUAUAAUAUAGUCAUCCACCGUAUACGAGCUAUAUAUUUAGCAAUCUAAUUGGUCGAGUUACUCGCCGUAUAUCAGCUCAUGUACGGCGAGUAGCGAAACACAAGAUGGCGGAAAAAAAACGACAAGAGUUUUGCG